CUGAUUUAAUCUCUUUCCACCGCCUGACAUAAUCUAUCAAAUAGGAUAAUACUUUUUUCGAAAAAGCCAAGGUCUCCCCUCCAAAAUCAUCUCCAGAUCUUCUUCCAACUCAAAAACUAUCAAAAAUAAGUUUUGUCCCACCAUCUGAAUCUUACACUUUUUCCUUGUCUUCCAUAUGCCUUUCAUAUGUGCCCUAAAACUUUCUGGGUUGUAUAGUUUUUCUGUCUAGACUGUACAUAUCAAUGUAGGUUUAAAACUUGGUACUACCAUUUAACCAUUGACUGAUAAUAGAACUAGUUCUUCUGGAAGAAGAGAGAUCUCAUCCCUCCCCUCUCGAACGUCGCCACCGUCGCUUUCCUCUAUCCUAAGCCGCAGCAGUUACUGCUUUCUCUAGGACUUUUAAGCAAAGCACUCUUGGGAGCAGAAAGAGUUUAAGAGAGAAACCCUACUCGGUAUACUUUGUUAUUGAUAGUGUUUUUUUAUUGUUAAUUCAUUAGUAUCUUAGUUAGAUUAAAAAUAUGUUUAGUUGUUAGUAUUUUAGUUAGAUUAAAAAUCUCUAUUUCUGGCUAGACGUAUCUAGGUUAUCUUUAAUUUUUGUUAGAUUAUUAGUAGAAUGAGUUUGUUGGUUUAGUGAUAAGAUUUUAGCUCACCAAUAGUCUUAUGUUCAAAACCCUGUGUGUGCAAAAGGGAAAUUUAUUUUUGUUUUAAACUCUAAAGAAAAAAAUCUAAUGUGGAUAACUGAUGGAGUUAGUGGGUAGUUAUUAAAAAAUACAAAUUGAGGGAUUAUUUCCUAAUUUUUCUCCCUCAUUCUAUUGUCCCUAUUCUUUCUCCACAUUUCCCAUACACAUUUUUUUUCCAUUUGCUGUAUUGAGUGUUGGGAAAAAACCCUUUUUUGUCAUUUUCUUCUUCUCUGCUACUUUUCUUCCACUUUUGAUUAUAUUUUUGCAAUCCUAGCAUUUCGAUUUGCCGACCCUUGCUCUUAUGACAUCUUUUUACAAUGGUUAUUGUUUAGUAAGUUCUACGUAUUUCAUCUAGGAAUUUUGUUUUUAGUUUCUCUACAUUUUUCAAAUAGGAAUUUUGUUUUUGGUUUUUGGUUAAUUGGCCAACCGGAUGGUCUAUUUGUUUGUGUUCAGUUAGGUAGGGAUUUUGAGACGAACACUCCAUCGACGAAUUAAGCAUUGGGGAAUUGUUUCACCUUUGGGUAAGAAUUCAAAUACUUCAAUUCAAGGGUUGAUUGAGCAAAUUGUUGCUUUGGUUGACACCCCUAACAUUGGUGGUUGAAUACUCUAACCGAGUAAGGGUCGAGUGCUUAAUUUUGAAUUGGUGUGGUUGCUAAUUAGGUUGUUUAAACUAUUGUUUUAGGUUUUUAGAGUGUGUUGUAUAAUCAUUUUCCAGAAAUAGGAAGGUGUGUGACUCGAACUCGUAGAAACAACGACCGACAGAAAGUUGAAAAACUCACUGUCGACGUCACAUGCCAAACUGUGUAGUCCACACGGUCUGGGAUAUUUAGGCCGCAUGGGCCACACGGGCAUGUGUAGGCCCUGUGUUAGGUUGUGUGGGCCAUACGGGCAUGUGGGUCUUUUUCUGAAAAUUUUCACCUAGGCCUGUUUAACUCUAAAAUUCGUAAUUAGACUUUCUAUAGGGUCCAUAUUGCUUAAUAAGUCUUGAAAACAAGGUAUCUAUUAAUAUGCUUCUGUAUGUGAUGUGUUAAAGGUAUGUUUUCGUUUUGCUAUGUUGAG
rnacentral:lncRNA from 1 species